ACUGCCUUUCUACUACAUCUUGGGCGGCUUUCACGCUACGUUUGUCCUUCGCCCGUCCAGGUAAAUAUAUAUCCCAGAAACUUAUUUAUGAUCUGUUUAGAUGGUACUCCUUGAGCAAAGAUACUCUUAGCACUGCAUGCAUGGUAUGCCAAACAUGCGUUCAACAUCCCUCUUUGUUGAAUUUGAUCUGCCUUUAAGAGUCUAGAACUAGUGUCUGAGACAGUGGAUCAACUUUCCUCAUCAGCCAUACGGCAAAUCUUCGAUUGAUCUGCCGCAAUGCUGGAAACAUAAGAAGGCCACCAAACCCAACUGACCUAACAAGUUCCUUCUCCAAAUCAUCAAAAGACGACAGAACAUCGUACAGCUGUUUAAUUGAUGAUCUUAAUGAGAUGCAACACAUAUGUCUGAUUUGUUUGCCGCCUGCAAUAUAUGUGUAUCCAAAUUCCCUUCACUUGAUGGGAAUAGCUGUAAAAAGGUAAAUUGCAGAUUACUUUUUAGCAAUCAACCUAGUAAAGGUCAUAAGCAUUACGAAAACAAAAGCCCCUUGCCAAUCAAUUUUAUUGUCACUUCAGUAUGUUUUUGUCUAAUUACAAGCUGUAGUCAGGACAAGGAAGAAUGAUGAACUACAAUUGCGUACUGGUUUUGGAACGGAAGUGCUCGGCAAUUAAAUAGGUUUUACAUUAUCCCUAUUUGCAAAAUAGGCUACCUAUAAUUGCAAAGCACCCUAAAAUCACAGGUUUGCUGCUUUGGUGUGGACUACCCACAGUGAAGGAAUGUGGAUCUUAACUCCAAGCAGUGGCUCAAAACCAGGUGAGUAGAUGCAUUAGGGGAAUCAAAACUGGAUCCAGAGCACAGAUUCAAGCUGGAGCCUAUGGCUACGCCCCCCAAAUGUUGUCUCCUCCAACCCGCAAGUACUGCUGAAUCCGUCAGAAGCACAAAAAACGUACAGGUCAUAAAGGGAUGAAUCAUUUCAAGGAAAAACGCCGAAUCGAACACAGCAUAAUAAAUCCAAUAAAACAGAGCGUAAAUCUUAGCCGGUCUGUACAAAUCAACUAAGUUUAUUGCCACCCAAAACUAAUGAAAACAAAAAUACUCAAAAGAAGGACUAAGACUAACCACUGAUUUCUUCGAAAUGAAGAAGUUUAUUUUGAUAAUAUGUAUUUAGAGCGUAAAUCUUAGCCCGUCGCGUCGCAAUGCCAUGCUAUUGAUGUAUUCCUUAAAAACUCGAAAUGAAGUGAUGAAUAAUUACGGCAUCGUAGUUCUCUACUGAUUGUGAUAAUAUGUAUUUAGAGGAUGGGGAUCCCUAUUGACAAGCUUGACUUUUACACUGACCUCUAGGUGGAGUUCAUCCAUCUGCUGUAAGUUUUCAUGUCCACCUCCUUUAGACUAUGACCAAACAACAAUGUUGCUAAUAGAUCGAUUGACCUCCUCUCAUGGGGCAAGAAAGGUGAGAUUGGUGGCAGGCCACAUUUAUCAAUGACUAUCUAGCUCCAAUUCGCUGCUGAACUACCUAAAUCAAGCGCAGCUGGCAGAUAGAAGAAAGUGAGAGGGAAUAAAGGAGAUGGCAGGAGCCUGUGAGUAAAAGCUGCACGCUCGCAACAAGAGCAUGCAAGGGAGCUCUCGCAAUUCCUGCCCAUGAAUAUCUAUCUUUGAUGGCUAACUCUGCAUCAACAUCAGUGUCUGCUGCCAGUGCAGUCAUUGCUUCCUGCAUGUUGAUAUCCUAAGAGGGUUUUUCCUUAAAAAAAAGAUAUCACAAAAGUGUUUCGCUUCUGUUUUCCUUCUAUCUAAUCAACUUAUUUUAGGUCAGGUAGCUUAAAAUAUUAAGUCAUGUGUACAGAUGCUUUAAUCAACUGGAUAUUGAGAUGUUAAACUAUAUGGGAAAGAUGUUGAAUAAUUUUUUUACUA